rnacentral:rRNA from 1 species
GACGAACGCUGGCGGCGUGCCUAAUACAUGCAAGUAGAACGCUGAAGGAGGAGCUUGCUCUUCUGUAUGAGUUGCGAACGGGUGAGUAACGCGUAGGUAACCUGCCUGUUAGCGGGGGAUAACUAUUGGAAACGAUAGCUAAUACCGCAUAAGAGUAGAUGUUGCAUGACAUUUACUUAAAAGAUGCAAUUGCAUCACUACCAGAUGGACCUGCGUUGUAUUAGCUAGUUGGUGGGGUAACGGCUUACCAAGGCGACGAUCCAUAGCCGACCUGAGAGGGUGAUCGGCCACACUGGGACUGAGACACGGCCCAGACUCCUACGGGAGGCAGCAGUAGGGAAUCUUCGGCAAUGGACGGAAGUCUGACCGAGCAACGCCGCGUGAGUGAAGAAGGUUUUCGGAUCGUAAAGCUCUGUUGUAAGAGAAGAACGGGUGGGAGAGUGGAAAGUUCACACUGUGACGGUAUCUUAACAGAAAGGGACGGCUAACUACGUG